rnacentral:sRNA from 1 species
CCAACCUCUUCUUUUACCGCCAACCGCCAACUGGCCCCGCCAACUGCUGCUGCUGGAAGGGAAAAGAGGGGGAGGCGACAAACCUGCAGCCUCUUUUCUUCCUCCGCCGCUCGUCCUCGUCCUUCCUCUCUUCUAAGUUAGAGCUUCCGGAUGGCGCCUCCUCGAUGUCUCUCCCACGGAUCCAGCUCCGUCCUACCAACUGAUAAGCCGCUGCUAGCCCCACGAAGCCAUAUCAGACAGAGAUCCAGAGGUCACAUUCCUAGCCAGCUGGGAGCCUAGCAAUCCCCAUCAAUUGCUGAGGAGAACGGCAGCUUU